rnacentral:rRNA from 1 species
GAUUUCUGAGCAUCAGUUUCUGGCCGGCCACGGUUUCGUGUGUUAGUGCUUGAAACUUUGCUCAUCCUUCCAAUCGCUAUCUAUUGAUCUUCAUUGAUUGAUAGGUGGUAUUGGAUCUUUUACUUUGAAAAAAUUAGAGUGUUUCAAGCAGGCUUUAUGCUAUGAAUACAUUAGCAUGGAAUAAUAAUUUAGGACUUUGGUUCUAUUUUGUUGGUUUCUAGAACUCGAGUAAUGAUUGAUAGGGAUAGUUGGGGGUGCUAGUAUUCAGCGGCCAGAGGUGAAAUUCUUGGAUUCGCUGAAGACUAACUUAUGCGAAAGCAUU